rnacentral:rRNA from 1 species
UACGUAGGGUGCGAGCGUUAAUCGGAAUUACUGGGCGUAAAGCGUGCGCAGGCGGUGAUGUAAGACCGAUGUGAAAUCCCCGGGCGUUAACCUGGGAACUGCAUUGGUGACUGCAUCGCUCGAGUAUGGCAGAGGGGGGUAGAAUUCCACGUGUAGCAGUGAAAUGCGUAGAUAUGCGGAGGAACACCGAUGGCGAAGGGCAAUCCCCCUGGGCCUGCACUGACGCUCAUGCACGAAAGCGUGGGGAGCAA